AUUUAGAUGUAUAUCACUGAAUUAUAUGCACAAACUGAUAAAUCUUUUUGUUUGGUGUAGAUAAUCAUAUUGCAUGUGCACUGUUGAUAAUUUUAUUGCAUAUUUGUAAUUUGCACAACUAUGGAAGCAUAUAUUGUUGUGCAGUAUCAUAAAUGCAGAUGCUAUUCAUCCAAGUUUGUUAGUUAAGCGUAAUAAAAGAUAUAAAAUGCUUAUAGAUGGCAAGCCUACUGCUAAAGCCCCACUUGCUGCUACGGAAUCGUCUGAAGAGCAACCUCCAGCACAAGUAACCUCAGAAGGUGUUACAUCUUCCUCACCUUCACAAGAAGCUUCAACGACUGCUUCUCCAGAAAUAAAGGUUCAGACGCCUUCAUCAGAGAAUGAAGGAGAAGGCUCUAAAUAAAUGCGACAAUAUCUACAAGAUAAUUCCAUAAGCUGAUAUUUGAAUGAAAGCCGAGAAGAUAGCUCACCAUGGACGCAUGAGGAGACCCUCAAUUGCAUGGACAUUUUGGGACAACGGGGUUGAUUAUUUGAUAGGACUAAUUGAGGUUUGCUAUGGGCUUGAUCAAUCUACUUGAGGACAGCUUCUGUGCAACUUUAUUAAUUUUUUUUAUUUUUUGUUUUUUAUUUGCAACUUUACAUCUAUUAGCUGUAUUGUUACUUUUAGUGAUUCCAACGAUGCAAUUUGAAUUAUAUAUACAUAUGAGUAAACCUUCUAUUUGUCCCUUAAAUUUCAUUUUUUUAUUUCAAUGAA